GAGUCCGGUCUGUUCCGGAGACUCUGAGCGCGGCCGCGGAGCUGCAGUGGCGGGGAGUGGGGUGCGGAUCUUGUGUUUGCGCACGCAGUCGCCGGCCACCUCAGGCCGGAGCUAGAGAUACGGCUCGGGAUAGGAGGGCCCGGCGGCUCUGAGGCAGGUUCGCCUCGAGCCGCACGGCCCGGAGCAGCGGCUCCGCGGUGGUCCCCGGGGCUUGAGAGGGGUGCGGGCCUGGGAGCCCCUGAGGGCCUGAUUUACGGAACUCCCCCUCCUUCCUCCUUUCUGCCGUUCCCUGCUCUGUGGCGGAUGCGCAGGGAUCAGUAGGGACGGCAGCAGUAGGGCCACUCGGGCCUGCCCCGCUUCCCGCAUUGCCCGGUUUGGCGCGCCGCCUCCGGGCCUUGGCAAAGCCCCAGCGCCCGAUUGUCACUGACCAGUGCUUGGAAGUCCUUUACCGACUGCCCGUCAGCGUCCCGCGGAGAGGAUUUUGCGUCUCCAAAGACGCCCCUCUUCCGAAAACAGGCUCCUCUGUGUUCUCAGUCGGGUAUAUUUUUCUGUCUCCAAACUAGAUUGGCAGCCGUUUUUUGAGAGCAGGGUCUUGCUCUGUUGCCCAGACUGGAGUGCAGUGGCGCCAUCUCAGCUGACUGCAGAUUCAACCUUCUGAGCUCACGAAAUCCUCCCAUCUCAACCUCCUGAGUAGCUGGGACCACAGGCUGAGCACAGGGUUGCUCCAGGUGGGCCCAAAUGCUGAAGAGCCUCAUGUUAGAGUUUUUCACCUCUGCGAUGGAACUGUGGUGGACUCCAGUAUCAUCAUUCCAGGGAGGCAUAGCCGCACCAACUGUGUUCCCAGGUUUCACAUGGAGAAGGGUUUUAGAAAGUGCAGAUAGCCUUGAAACCAUUGGUUUCCUACCACUGUUUAUUUCAGCAUAACUUUUUUUGUGUGGAAUGCUAGCUCUGGAAGAGCAGAAAUAAAUACAGCUUAAGCUUUGAACCAUA
rnacentral:lncRNA from 1 species